UACAUCAACGGUCGACCCGAGGUCGGGGUAUCCUUUUCUCCUCUCGUGCUCAUUCGUAUCCGUUGCUCUCGUUCCGCGUUCCUGGUUCUACUCUCUCUCCCCCCAUGGCUUCUUCUGCAAUUUCGUCAUCGUUGAUCAUCAUCUGGUUGCGGAGAUCCUUGAGGGUUUCGCUUGGCCUACGAUUCCUACUGGUUAUCGGAAUUCUUUGGUUUACGCCUCAUCCUUUGAUUGCUUAGUGAUUCAUCGGGCGAUCGAUUGAACUUUGCGUUGCUGUUUUUGACCAGCUUAUUCUGGAUUCUCGUUGUUCGGUGAAUUGGUAGUGCAAUACUUUUCCACUUCUGAUACAGUGAUUGUCGGGUUGUUUUCAGUUUGUAGUGCUACCUUGAGGGCCUAAUUUCUGAAUAUGCUAGGUUCUCGGUACCUUUCAUAACUAGAAGGUCUCUUUCUUCUCGUGUUUUAUGAUUGGCAUACGUGAUUAGGCCUCACAUGGGGAUGUUGUCAGGACUGCCUUCUAGAAGGUCUCUUUCUUCUCGUGCUUCAUUCAUGAUUGGCAUAUGUGAUCAGGCCUCACAUGGGGACGUAGACAGGACAGCCAUCUAGACAUAACUCCCUUGGCAUUGCUUGCACUCUGACCGGUUCUCUCCUUUCUGCUGAUUCUCUUGUUUCUUAUCCAUCGCAAAGCUGUGUUGUGCCUUGUUUGCUGUCAGCAGACGUGGCUGGUCUGGCUGGGAGAAGCAGACACUUGGUGCUUGGUUGGCCUGUUUGUCAAAUUUUGUAGUUAUUUUUAGAUGGGUGAAACUGAAGGGUUAGAUGACAAUCCUGCAUAAGCCUUGGUUUGAGGUCUUAACAUAUCUGGUAAGCAUGGACCCCUCCUGAUCUCUUAUGAUACCUAAUGUACGAUGGGCGAACUUCUACUGCUUAUAUAUUAUCUAAAUUUAAUCAAGCAUAGCUGUUGAAACUCUUUAGGGCUACGAAUUUAUCUAUGUCCAAUUGCAGCGUGAUCAUUUGCCAAUGAUGAUCUUUUGACCAGGAAUUCUAAUUCAUGGUUCUACUGUAUCUCUAUGAAGUCAUCUUCCUUGUAAUUGGAGAUACUAAAUGAUUGCCUUAUGAUUGGUUUCAUUUGCUUUGGUGUUUGCUUUGAAGGCAUGAAUUUUGAAGCAUCUGGCUGGGUCCUUUUUAAGUACAAUGUUGGCGACAGCUCCGAUUUUAUACAGAAAGGUCUAUCCAAGCUAUUAAGGUUCGAAUGCUGAUUAUAUCAACUAAUUUUGUGGCUUCCAUGCUAUACGGACUUGUUCAGUUGUUGACAGGUGCUUGUUCCAGUUUAGAGCGAUCCCACUAAGGACCGUGUGAGGAUGCAAAUUGAACAAAACUGUUAGAGAAUCCUAGUUCUUUAGUUGGGGAAGGCAGGAGGUUAUUAAUUAAUGCAAUUACGUUUAGUUGAGAAACUGAAUUUUGUUUUUUUUUUUCCUGUGGAUUGGAGCGAUGAGCGAUGUCUGGAUCUUUCCAUAGGGAUCGUCUGUUUUUAUUUUUAUCUUUAUUUUUAUUUUUGGGGAGAUGCAAUGAACAUCCAGUUCUCUUCCUGUUGUAAAUUAUUUGUUUCUACUUUGAAUUGGUUUGGUGCAGUCCAUAGAAGCAUUCUUGUGGGGAUUCUCUUUAUAUUGAAGUUCCAGUUGAUAUAAAUUUGCCCGACAAAUUAGUUUUAUAUUGCUUGUGUGUUGAAAAGUUACUAGGCCAUCAGCUUGCACGAUCCCUCUACAUGGAUUUACCCCUGACUUUCUCCAAAACUCCUAUUCUGUUAUCUUUGUUUUCUGCGGAAUUUGGCUCUAUUUUGUGCCUUCAAAACUAUAUCUGCAAGGAUGCUCGUGGGCAUGCGUAGAGUGGAUGGAUUGGA